CCUACGGGUGGCUGCAGUGGGGAAUAUUGGACAAUGGGGGGAACCCUGAUCCAGCCAUGCCGCGUGUGUGAAGAAGGCCCUCGGGUUGUAAAGCACUUUCAGUGAGGAAGAACGCCUGGUGGUUAAUACCCAUCAGGAAAGACAUCACUCACAGAAGAAGCACCGGCUAACUCCGUGCCAGCAGCCGCGGUAAUACGGAGGGUGCGAGCGUUAAUCGGAAUUACUGGGCGUAAAGCGCGCGUAGGUGGCUUGAUAAGCCGGUUGUGAAAGCCCCGGGCUCAACCUGGGAACGGCAUCCGGAACUGUCAAGCUAGAGUGCAGGAGAGGAAGGUAGAAUUCCCGGUGUAGCGGUGAAAUGCGUAGAGAUCGGGAGGAAUACCAGUGGCGAAGGAGGCCUUCUGGACUGACACUGACACUGAGGUGCGAAAGCGUGGGUAGCAAACAGGAUUAGAUACCCGUGUAGUC
rnacentral:rRNA from 1 species